GAGAGUUACUUGGUCGGAGUAAUUUCAAAGAAGACGUGUUCGAAUUGCUUGAUUUGAUCCAGCUCGUUACACAAGGAUCUACUUCGUACACAUAUUCGCAAAAUCCUUUACUGCAAAAAUCACUUGGCGGAGCUUUCAAGGGCUAGUAAUGAAUGCUGUAUUCUUCUACCAUUAUCAACAUGAACACUUACGGUUUCUCGAACGAGUUCGUCUUCGCUACCAUCAAAACAGGAUCGAAUGGGCAAUUUACGGGCGAGAUGGACCAACGCAGUAACUAAGAUGAUUUCAUACUGGGAGGAGUGUUGACUAUCCGGAGAUCACUUCCGUCAAUCUUUAAAGAGUAUUGGGAACACGGAGAAGUGCGUAAUUUAUCCGUCAUCGUUAUGCAUGUUCUAUUUGCACACGUCGCAUUCAAUCUUUCCUGUUUCCUGAAUUGUGUUACGGAACGGAUGUUUUGAUAUCGGCUAACGUGACGAAAACCGGCAUCAUAAAAUCAGCAUCGCAGGUGAUUUUCCAGCGCAAUUUUGCCGGAGCAUUUGCCAUUUCCGACAGAUCUUCUCGCAAACUUUGAGGAUCGACGUCAACUGGAAUGAACGAAACUGAAAAUUGGAACAGGAUUUCACUGGAACGGUAAAAUUGCAUUUGGCCAUCAAGUCCGAAUAUUUGUGACAUAUAUGUUUGCCCAUGGUAACUCUCUGGUUCAGAGUAAUUAACUCGGUUUUCAGACUGCAGCUACAGAAGAUCGUUGUGCUAUCAUUGAGACUUACUUGUUUAUUUCGGAGAUGUUGAGAAGCCGAUCAGAGUCCAAACCGUUGGUAGCGUUCAUGAUCGUCCACUCCAGAUAUACCGUUGUCUCAUUUAAAGUCUUCAUUCGAAAGUGUAACAUCCCUACACGCAAUUGGACACAAAUAGGUACCAUCGGUCCUCUUGAACGGCUGCCACUGUUGUUAUUUCAAAAUGAUUUAAAAGCACUGGUUUGAUCAAAAUAUUUACUGAUCUCAGUUAAUUCAAAGGAAAAUCCCUACCCGGUUGACUGAUUGGUGCAAGAUCCGAUAUGUCAGAAGAACCUGCUGAUGGUGGAGCUGCACGCAAAACAAUUUGUUUGUUUGUUUACAUCAAAACUAAUCGUUUAAUUGUGGUAGUCUUUCAUACCCGAUUGGCUUAUGGGUUCAUAAGAUACGUUGCCAUGCAUCCAGUUGUCGAGCAGAUCUUCGUCAAAUUCUACGGUUGAGCCCAGAAACAAACACAUGGUUAUUCGUUAUUUUCAAAAAUUGGGCAUGCAGGUGUAUCUACCUCCAUCUGCGCUGUGUGGGAGCAGUUCGUCGAUUUCUGACCUUUUCGCACUUCCUGUAUCGAGUGAAAAUAACCAAAUAGCAGCUGCGCACCAAUAGAAGACACAACGAUUGGCCAAACCCAUGUUCUUGAAUCAAUGAUACCAGUAGCAAAGAAAACACGAUCUCGUGAAAUGGAUUCAAAACUAGCUGGCCGUUUGAUGUGAACUGUUUCAUACUAGUCAAUCCUUCGAGCAAACCUAUACGCAGACAGAAGAGGAAAUCCCUUGGUUAGGAAAAGGAAACGAAAAUAACCUCAACGGAAGCCUUUUAUCUCUUAGUUUUCUCAACCAAAUUUGCGUCAUAAGUUCAGCAGAAAGUUAUCGUAUGUGUUUUGCAUCCAGACGCGCGCUACGAGAUUGUUCGAUUCCGUCAUCUAUGUUGCAAUUAAGAAGAUAAAGCGGACAAAGCGUUGCUAGAUGACCCCUUGCCGUUUUAUUUUCUUUUCCUGGUGUCUUGUAGGGAAAAAUCGAUGGACACCCUUGGGGAUAUUUCUAAUGUUGACACCUUCUUAGAAACUACAUGAAGAAACGGUCGAACAUCUAACGUUGGCUGUAGCAUCGUCCUGUAGCAGCGGUUUCCCUAUUCAUACUAUGGGCCUUCAAACCUUUAGACACACUGGAAAUUAUAUCUUCUUGUGCAUAUGUUUAAUUGUGACUCACCACAUUAAAUUCAACCAGAGGUUAACCUUCUACACUGCUAAACAAUGGCGCAACCGUCUGUUACUGUUCCAUUAGGAGAAGCAAGAGUUAUAAACAUAGGAGGAUGUCCGGCUUGUCGGGUGGGGACACUGAAAUAUUACUUCACCUGCACUGGUAUCACGCUUGCCAUUUUGUUCUUUCCCAUCGGCUUACUUUGCCUUUUCGGAUUGCAGGAGCAACGAUGUACGCACUGUGGAGUUGUUCUUUAGUAAUUUUCAACUGUUAUUUACCUAAGGUAGUUAACUGAUUUCUUGCAAUUUCUCAUCGUAACUAUAGACCAUAGGUAUUAACAGUUAGUCAUGAGCCAUCGCUCAAAUUGCAUGUUGUCUAUGCCGCCUACUUGUUGAUUGUGACCACGACUUCUUACUGCAUCCGAGUUUCCUUAAUAACGAUGAUGUAAAAAUAUAAA